AUUAACAUCCAGACUGUUCAAAACACUUUUGAACGGUUACGAUUGAGCGCUGUAAACUCUUGUUUACGGUUGCUCCAGAAAUGAGAUUUUCUGCUCCCAAUAACUUUUUUGGGGGUAAUUGUAAUAUUCCACCUGAAAAAUCGUUCAGUUUUUUUCUUGUCAACUUCUGGUUUUAUAUUUCCCC